AAAGGAUGGMCUCGCGGCCUUAUCAGCUUGUUGGUGAGGUAAUGGCUCCACCAAGGSGGACGACGGGUASCCGGCCUGAGAGGGUGACCGSCCACACUGGGGACUGAGACACGGCCCAGAYUCYUACGGGARGCAGCAGUGGGGAAUAUUGCACAAUGGGCGAAAGCCUGAUGCAGCAACGCCGCGUGAGGGACGACGGCCUUUCGGGUUGUAAACCUCUUUUAGCAGGGAAGAAGCGAAAGUGACGGUACCUGCAGAAAAAGCACCGGCUAACUACGUGCCAGCAGCCGCGGUAAUACGUAGGGUGCAAGCGUUGUCCGGAAUUAUUGGGCGUAAAGAGCUCGUAGGCGGUUUGUCGCGUCUGCUGUGAAAUCCCGAGGCUCAACCUCGGGUCUGCAGUGGGUACGGGCAGACUAGAGUGCGGUAGGGGAGAUUGGAAUUCCUGGUGUAGCGGUGGAAUGCGCAGAUAUCAGGAGGAACACCGAUGGCGAAGGCAGAUCUCUGGGCCGUAACUGACGCUGAGGAGCGAAAGGGUGGGGAGCAAACAGGCUUAGAUACCCUGGUAGUCCACCCCGUAAACGUUGGGAACUAGAUGUGGGGACCAUUCCACGGUCUCCGUGUCGCAGCUAACGCAUUAAGUUCCCCGCCUGGGGGAGUACGGCCGCAAGGCUAAAACUCAAAGGAAAUUGACGGGGGCCCGCACAAGCGGCGGAGCAUGCGGAUUAAUUCGAUGCAACGCGAAGAACCUUACCAAGGCUUGACAUAUACCGAGAACGGGCCCAGAAAUGGUCAACUCUUUGGACACUCGUAUACAGGUGGKGGCAUGGGUUGUCGUCAGCUCGUGUCGUGAGAWGGUUGGGGUUAARUCCCSCMACSAAGCGCAAACCCUCSUUYUUAUGUUGCCASCACGUAAAUGGGUGGGGAACUCCAUGGGAKAACWGGCCGGGGKC
rnacentral:rRNA from 1 species